UACGAAGGGGGCUAGCGUUGCUCGGAAUCACUGGGCGUAAAGGGCGCGUAGGCGGAUCUUCAAGUCGGGGGUGAAAGCCCAGGGCUCAACCCUGGAAUUGCCUUCGAUACUGAAGAUCUCGAGACCGGAAGAGGUAAGUGGAACUGCGAGUGUAGAGGUGAAAUUCGUAGAUAUUCGCAAGAACACCAGUGGCGAAGGCGGCUUACUGGUCCGGUUCUGACGCUGAGGCGCGAAAGCGUGGGGAGCAAACAGG
rnacentral:rRNA from 1 species